AGCUCCAAUAGCGUAUAUUAAAGUUGUUGCAGUUGAAAAGCUCGUAGUUGGAAGUUGGGCGUCGCCGGGCGGUCCAUCCUUUGUGGUGCGUACUGCUCCUUUCCAUUCUUUCGGGAGUGGAUGGCGGUGCUCUGAGCGGGUCCUCAUGCGUAGCAAUACGUGUGCGGGAUACGCGGUUACCUUGAGUAAAUUAGAGUGUUCAAAGCAGGCUUUUUAGCUUGAAUAGAUUAGCAUGGAAUAACGGAAUAGGACUGCGGUUCUGUUUUGCUGGUUCUCAGGACCACGGUAAUGAUCAACAGGGACAGUUGGGGGCACUCGUAUUUCAUUGUCAGAGGUGAAAUUCUUGGAUUUAUGAACGACGAACUUUUGCGAAAGCAUCUGCCAAGGAUGUUCUCA
rnacentral:rRNA from 1 species